rnacentral:rRNA from 1 species
GACGAACGCUGGCGGCGUGCUUAACACAUGCAAGUCGAACGGUGAAGCGCCUUCCUUUUUGGUGGGUGUGGAUGAGUGGCGAACGGGUGAGUAACACGUGAGUAACCUGCCUCCUUCUUCUGGAUAACCGCAUGAAAGUGUGGCUAAUACGGGAUAUUCUGGGUCUGUCGCAUGAUGGGUCUGGGAAAGAUAUUGUUUCGGUGGGGGAUGGGCUCGCGGCCUAUCAGCUUGUUGGUGGGGUGAUGGCCUACCAAGGCGGUGACGGGUAGCCGGCCUGAGAGGGUGGACGGUCACACUGGGACUGAGACACGGCCCAGACUCCUACGGGAGGCAGCAGUGGGGAAUAUUGCACAAUGGGCGCAAGCCUGAUGCAGCGACGCCGCGUGAGGGAUGGAGGCCUUCGGGUUGUGAACCUCUUUCGCCAGUGAAGCAGGCCUGCCUCGUUUGUGGGUGGGUUGACGGUAGCUGGAUAAGAAGCGCCGGCUAACUACGUG